UACGUAGGGGGCAAGCGUUGUCCGGAAUCAUUGGGCGUAAAGCGCGUGUAGGCGGCUGAGUAAGUCCGCUCUGAAAGCCCGGGGCUCAACCCCGGGAGGCGGGUGGAUACUGCUCAGCUCGAGUCCGGAAGAGGAGUGUGGAAUUCCUGGUGUAGCGGUGAAAUGCGCAGAUAUCGGGAAGAACACCCGUGGCUAAGGCGGCUCUCUAGUACGGUACUGACGCUGAGACGCGAAAGCGUGGGGAGCAAACAGG
rnacentral:rRNA from 1 species